rnacentral:tRNA from 1 species
AAAGGUAGGUUAAACCCAACCAUUAAGUUUGUAACUUAAAAUUGAAUAUUAUAUUUCCCUUCUUU